GCCUCCUUCAGGAGCUCCAUAUGGGACACCCUCGGCUCCCUCGGCUCCUCACGCCACCUCAGCCCAGCCCCCGACGCGCCGCCUUCCCUUUCCCUGCCGCCGGGGGCCUCGACCCACACAGGCUCCUCGGGCCUGCGGAGGGCACAGCGGGGCUGCACGGCCUGCACGGCCCAGGUGCUGUGUCAGCCUCUCGUCGGGCUCCGCGGCGUGGACGGCCUGGAAAGUCACAUGGCGGUGGGACCGGCCCGCGCCCCGAACACUCCGGCUCUUCUCAGAGCCCGACCGGGCGACCCGAGCCACUCACCUCAACGAAGAGCAACAUGUCUGCUUCCGCUCGGCCCGAUCGUUCACGCUGCCGCGACUCCAACUGGCUCCCAGGCCCGGGCCCCGGUCGGUAGGAUAAGGACACUCGCCUUGCCCCUCCACCCGGCAGUGGACCCGGCUCCUCCCCCGCCGUCAGCCGCUGCGCCCUGACCCGCCCAGUCCCUCCUCCCGGGAAGCAACAACUGUUUCCGGUUCUGGAGGAAAACUGCUUCCGGGGGCGGAGGGCCUGCCCGCCCCUGUGCGUGCUUCGCUCCGGCAGGCUCGUCUGUGGCGGCGAAGGCGAAAGUGUGUGGUACGUGUCGCGUGUGGGUCGACGCCCGGGAGGCCGCGCCGGGCUGUGCAAAACGCUCACUAAAGCAUUUGUACUUUCUACCAAAAAGCUGACACCGCACUGCUAACCCUUGCGCAGAUUCGUGGUUAAAAACCUAGGUCCGAUUAAAAAGCGACCGAGUGCACCCGCCCCUGCUGAUGACGUACUGGCUCCUCCCGCCCCUCAUUAGAAAAAAAAAAAAAAAAGCUGAAGAGGGAGCUAAGAUACUCUUCAGCUACUCAGUGCUUGUACUUUACUAAGCAUUUUGCAUAAGUUAAUCUUAAGACCCUAUGAAUGUAUUGUUGGAGGAGUGCUGGAACAGUCAGAUUCCUUUCGCUACAACUUUGAUAAAACUUUAGCCCAAGCCCCUCGGAAUCAGGUCUCAUUAACAUAAUGAUGCUCCGCUGUGAUGCUUAAUGCUCUACUAAAAAUAAUUAGCCUAGAUCUCUUCUUUAUUAUGUUUUCAUAGUCAAAUAAAAUAGUAUACAAAUAUUUA
rnacentral:lncRNA from 1 species